GAGAGAGGAAGGGCGGCUGCCGGCAGCAAUGCUGAGGAAAGUCCCCUCACCAUCUGGACCGCGGAUGCACGCAAGUGCGUAGGGCGAGAGUCCUGGCUCUGGAACAGAAACGAUACCGCUGCGCAGUAAUGCGAUGAACCCGAAAGGGCGAGGUCAUGCGCUUUUGAAAAUUCCGUUUUCAAAGCUCAAAAAGCUUCACGGAUUUUCAAAGCGGAUGGAACGGCGAAUCCACGCGGGUGUAAGCCGAAACAGGGCAAAAAGGGCAGUCCAGACCUGCCCGAGUACGGCGCAUAGCUGAAUGCCGCAUGGGCGCCACAGGGGCACUCGCUCCUUGCGCCAAACAUAAAGGGGCUUACUCUCCUCACUC
rnacentral:RNase_P_RNA from 1 species